rnacentral:rRNA from 1 species
ACUCCUACGGGAGGCAGCAGUGGGGAAUAUUGCACAAUGGGCGCAAGCCUGAUGCAGCCAUGCCGCGUGUAUGAAGAAGGCCUUCGGGUUGUAAAGUACUUUCAGCAGUGAGGAGUGGUAUGUAAUAGCAUACUCAUUUGACGUUAGCUGCAGAAGAAGCACCGGCUAACUCCGUGCCAGCAGCCGCGGUAAUACGGAGGGUGCGAGCGUUAAUCGGAAUUACUGGGCGUAAAGCGCAUGCAGGUGGUUUGUUAAGUCAGAUGUGAAAGCCCGGGGCUCAACCU